UACGGAGGGUGCGAGCGUUGUUCGGAAUCACUGGGCGUAAAGGGCGCGCAGGCGGCGUGAUAAGUCAGAUGUGAAAGUCCAGGGCUUAACCGUGGAAGUGCAUUUGAAACUGUCAUGCUUGAGUACCAGAGGGGAAGGUGGAAUUCCCGGUGUAGAGGUGAAAUUCGUAGAUAUCGGGAGGAAUACCGGUGGCGAAGGCGACUUUCUGGCUGGAUACUGACGCUGAGGCGCGAAAGCGUGGGGAGCAAACAGGAUUAGAUACCCCCGUAGUCC
rnacentral:rRNA from 1 species